rnacentral:rRNA from 1 species
AUUGAACGCUGGCGGCAGGCCUAACACAUGCCAGUCGAACGGUAACAGGAAGAAGCUUGCUUCUUUGCUGACGAGUGGCGGACGGGUGAGUAAUGUCUGGGAAACUGCCUGAUGGAGGGGGAUAACUACUGGAAACGGUAGCUAAUACCGCAUAACGUCGCAAAACCAAAGAGGGGGACCUUCGGGCCUCUUGCCAUCGGAUGUGCCCAGAUGGGAUUAGCUAGUAGGUGGGGUAACGGCUCACCUAGGCGACGAUCCCUAGCUGGUCUGAGAGGAUGACCAGCCACACUGGAACUGAGACACGGUCCAGACUCCUACGGGAGGCAGCAGUGGGGAAUAUUGCACAAUGGGCGCAAGCCUGAUGCAGCCACGCCGCGUGUAUGAAGAAGGCCUUCGGGUUGUAAAGUACUUUCAGCGGGGAGGAAGGGAGUAAAGUUAAUACCUUUGCUCAUUGACGUUACCCGCAGAAGAAGCACCGGCUAACUCCGUG